GGAAGGAAGGAAGAAAGGAGGAAAGGAAGGAAGGAAGGAAGGAAGGAAGGAAGGAAGGAAGGAAGGAAGAAAGGAAGGAAGAGCAAGCAAACACUUGACAGCAUCAAGUGCUGGUGAGGGUGCAGGGCACCUGGAAGUCUCUUCCGUUGAGGUGGGAAUUGAAAGGUGACACAGGUCCUCUGGAGAAGUGGCAGCGUCUUUUAAUGCUACACAUUCACUACCAUGCAAUUCAGUAAUCCCAUCCCCAGAGAAGUGAAAACUUACCUCACAGAAAAAUCUGUGCGCAACUAUUUAUACCAGCUUUAUUCAUGACCACCCAAAGCUGGAAACAACUGAAUGUGUCUCAGCAGGUGAAUGGAUGAAGUGUGGACACCUGCACAAGGGGAUACUGCUCAGUAACAAAAGGAACUAGCUCUCCAUGUGUAACAACUUAGAUGAAGCCAUGGACACCCUCUGGGCGAAAGAGGCCAGUCUAAAAAGGCUCAUGUUUUGUGACAUUUCACAAAAGGCAAAACUUUAGAGACGGGGAAACAGAUGCGAGUUUCCAGGAGUUUGCGGUGGCAGAAGGGUUUGACUCCACCAGGGAAGCCCAAAGGAAGUUUCUGGCAUGAUGAAAUUAUUUUGUGUCCUGAUCAUUUCUUUUUAUUAGAAAAAAGUAAGUUCUAUGGUAUGCAUAUAAAUUAAUUAACCAAAUUAAAAUGAAAAGGAAAGAGUAUAAGUUUUAAAAGUUUCGGAAGUGUUGUCAAUAUUGGCAACUAACAUCUCAGCCUGUCCUUUUGAUUUGCAUUUUGGAUCCUGUUUCUAAGCUGUCAGUUUACGUUCUGGGUUCAGAUUCUGAAUUCCAAGUUCUGUGUUUAGAAUCUUGACUCCAAACGCAGAUUCCAAAUUCUGUAGUUGACGUCUCCGCACCGUUUGGUUGUCUGAGGCUAAUUCUGUAGCACAGAGCUCAACAAACCAUGACUCCUGGCGAAAUCAAGCCCCCCACUUGUCUCUAUGAAUCCCCAAGGAAGACCAGGUUUUUAUAUUUUAGGUGGUUAGUCCACCGGUUUUGUUAAUAGAUGCCUCAGAGCCGGUCACUCUGGCUUGUGUUUCCAGCACUUGAUGUCCUCUUUCCACGCAUGCCUUCCAGUGAGGUUUCUUCUUUGGGACAGUUUCCCGGACUCCCAGAGUUGCAGAGGCCCCCCCAGGGGUACGUGGACCUGCCUCUUCCCCGCCCCUCCCACGUUUGCCGUCACCGCGUGGACAGAGCAUCGCCGUGGCUUCCCGCAUCUGUGCUUCCGUGUCAGCUUCCCCAAAGUUGGGGGCUAUUUUAAAUCCCUUCCUGGGAUCAGUCGUCUGGCUCCCAAAGGCUGACAUUCCGCGCCCUCCCUUCUCAGCCGCUCUAGCCACGCGGCCCUUCCAAGGCUUCUACCGCUUGCUUCUUUCCAGCUCCUACGUCGCGGUUUUCACCAACUUUCUAGUUCGGUCUCAUGAUGUGCCGGCUGAAUUGAAUGACAUGCAACCUUCAGUGUGGGUUAGAAGUUAUCCCGUGAGUCCAUUCUAGUUUACUUCAAGAAGUAGGAAAUGAACUGGUUGAAUCCAAUUAAUAUUUCCAAUGGUAAUAAAGUAAUAAAGCUA